rnacentral:rRNA from 1 species
AGUGGCGACGGGUGAGUAACACGUGAGCAAUCUGCCCCUGACUCUGGGAUAAGCGCUGGAAACGGCGUCUAAUACUGGAUACGAGCCGUGAAGGCAUCUUCAACGGUUGGAAAGAUUUUUCGGUCAGGGAUGAGCUCGCGGCCUAUCAGCUUGUUGGUGAGGUAAUGGCUCACCAAGGCGUCGACGGGUAGCCGGCCUGAGAGGGUGACCGGCCACACUGGGACUGAGACACGGCCCAGACUCCUACGGGAGGCAGCAGUGGGGAAUAUUGCACAAUGGGCGCAAGCCUGAUGCAGCAACGCCGCGUGAGGGAUGACGGCCUUCGGGUUGUAAACCUCUUUUAGCAGG